GUCAAUAAUACACUCAGUCUCGUGAGGACCACCCUGACAAGACCACGACUUCCUCAUCCCCUCGGAAUGCGGCACCGUGGGCCAGCGAAACUAAGCAAACUAGCAAGCAAGCAAUCAUGUCCAGACCCCAUAAUCUCGCUGCCCAAGUCAAAAGGUUCCGAGCUUUCGAUCCGCGCUCAUCGCACACAGCGAUGAUGCUAAUCAUGCACCCUAGUAUCCUGUUCUCGCCACUUCAAUUCUUCACCUCUUCCACGACUCGAAGGCUCCCAAUCCAUCAAAUCUUCCUACGACUUCCCCUACCCCCAAUUGCUACUUCUCUCUCUCGCUCUGUUGGACUGGUGGGGAGGAUGGGGUGCGCGACAAGAUUAGUUGACCUGAGCGUAGCUGCGAGAUGAUGAGGGAUGAGAAUGGGCCUGAUCGGGCCGAGGUUGGAUGCUUAAUGAGAUAGGGUUUGCGUGUCUAGGUGAGGGAUUGGUAGGGGGUGGAACAGGUUGCAGUGCUUGUCGCCAGGUUCGACUGGCAGUCGACGAGGGGAAUUGGGUUUGAUUUCGAUGCGAAGGUCUGCGUGAUGCUCUGGGAACAAUUGCAACUACGUGGACUGCUUAGAUGUGGCUUUUGCCGCAUUAGUGUCGUGGAGUUUUUUGGAGCAGGAGCACCGCUUGCAGCCUGGGAAGAGUGCGAAGCCCAUUGAGAAAGAAAAAGAGAGUUCCAAAAAUCAGGUGGUGUGUUGGAGUCUUUCAUUAUUGCUGCUUUAGGAUUUGGCUGGUAUUUUAGGCGGUUCUGACUUGGUCGCGGCGAGUGGGAGAUUCUCACUUAGACACACAGGUUGCACUAUACCCUAGAGUUAGCUCCUCAAUUAAAGUCUGUCUAGCAAUUCUUCUGAUGAGAAUUGUAAUUUUCGAGUAGGAACAGGUUGGUGAUUCCGCUCUGAGCUCUGGCAAUAAUCAUAAUCCGUCAAAUUUAGAAUUGAAUUGAAGAGUUCAAAGAGUUACAACGAUGGAUCGGAAACAUGAGCAGAGGGCUUCAGACUUUAGGGUGGUUGAAUUUGUGGAACCUCGAGAAGUCGACGACAAGGAAGCUCUCCUUGAGUACAUCUCUGUGCGCGAAAAAGAAGCCAAGUUGGAGAGUGUUCGGUGGUCUGGAUACUGUGAGAGCCACCCAGCAACGCAGAUUUUAGACAUAAUGCGCGAAUCCACGACGAUUUUAAGAAAGCACAACGGCAUUCUCCUUGCUCUAGGACUCAUCCUGGCAGUCCCACUAUCUACACUUCUUCUCUCCGGUGUGCUACUUCAUCUCCCGGUCAUAGACGAUUUCGUCAGGAUGGUGCAACUCGCUGCAGAGCAAAGGUUCAAGCAGCAGUCACAUCACUCUGGGUACAGGAGGCUGGCGGAAAGUAUGAUGUCGAACUUGGUGGACAUCCCUUUCUCGGCGCUGUUCUCCCCGCUUCUCAAGGCAGGCGUGGCCUACGUCGUGGCCUCCACCUACACUCGCAAGAGAGUCAAAUUGGCGGAGAUUCUCGAGACCCUGCAAAAGGUUUGGCUUCUUCUGGUGCAGACGUUCUUGUGGACAUGCUCGGUGUACAUAACCUUCGCCUCUGCAUUCGUCACUCUGCUGUGGCUUGCUUCCAGGAUCGGUGAAGCCUCCACGAUGUGCAACAACUUCAGUCUCCUGGCUGCAGCUCUCGUGGGGUUGGCUCUUGCCGCGGGGCUAGCGAUCUCGAAUGUCAUGUGCAACCUGGCAUACGUGGUCACGAUUCUAGAAGGGACUCAAGCAAGACAAGCUCUGAUGCAAAGUGUCCGGCUUCUCAAGGGGAGGUUCGAGGUGGCGCUGCUGCUGUUUCUCGUCACCAACGUGAACGCCACCAUGCUGGACGUUCUCUUUGAGUUUCACAUUAUCCGGAACGCGGACUCGUCUAUCGCGCAUGACAAGUACUGGGAAGCCCCGCUGCUGGUGUACAUGCACUCGUUCGUGCAUCUCUUCGACGCCAUCAUGAUCAGCGUCCUGUAUUACGUGUGCAAGUCGUCGGAGAUGGAGAGCAGGGGCUUCCGUUACGACGUGGAGCAUCUUGCGAGUCCUGACGAUCUGCAAGAGGUGAGGUCGCCCUUUGCAGCUCGCUGAGCAGAUCCUCCGCAUUCACUUGUAUAUUAGUCUGCACCCCCAUUAAAUCGAUUCCAAAUAGGUCGUGGAUGAGGGGGCGAAUUGCACCCUAUCCUUCACUAUUUCUAGCAAUCGCGAUGUUUCUGUCGGCAUUGAUCAUCUUCAAAUUGAUGGUCACGCCCCGGCUUAUCAAGUUGUAUUGUGAUGGUCACCGACACAUGAUGGUCGUUGCUCAUUCUUCGGUGGCUGUGCAAAAAUGGUAAGAAUUACACCAAGUGAGUUGCCAAAGUCACAAGCUUUCAGCGAUACAAUGGACGUAGGACUUAAACAGGUUUCUAAACAAUCACCGAAUUGUAAAUCUAUCAACUUAAUUCAUUGAAAUAUUUCCAUUUUUU